rnacentral:rRNA from 1 species
CCCCCCUGGACAGAGACUGACGCUGAGGUGCGAAAGCGUGGGUAGCAAACAGGAUUAGAUACCCUGGUAGUCCACGCUGUAAACGAUGUCGAUUUGUAGGUUGUGGUUAUAAACUGUGGCUUGCGGAGCAAACGCGUUAAAUCGACCGCCUGGGGAGUACGGCCGCAAGGUUAAAACUCAAAUGAAUUGACGGGGGCCCGCACAAGCGGUGGAGCAUGUGGUUUAAUUCGAUGCAACGCGAAGAACCUUACCUACUCUUGACAUCCAGAGGAGUCGACAGAGAUGUUGACGUGCCCUUCGGGGAGCUUUGAGACAGGUGCUGCAUGGCUGUCGUCAGCUCGUGUUGUGAAAUGUUGGGUUAAGUCCCGCAACGAGCGCAACCCUUAUCUUUUGUUGCCAGCACGUAGAGGUGGGAACUCAAGAGAGACUGCCGGUGAUAAACCGGAGGAAGGUGGGGAUGACGUCAAGUCAUCAUGGCCCUUACGAGUAGGGCUACACACGUGCUACAAUGGCGUAUACAAAGAGAAGCGAGCCUGCGAGGGUGAGCGGACCUCAUAAAGUACGUCGUAGUCCGGAUUGGAGUCUGCAACUCGACUCCAUGAAGUCGGAAUCGCUAGUAAUCGUGGAUCAGAAUGCUACGGUGAAUACGUUCCCGGGCCUUGUACACACCGCCCGUCACACCAUGGGAGUGUUUUGCAAAAGAAGUAGGUAGCUUAACCUUUGGGAUGGCGCUUACCACUUUGUGAACCAUGACUGGGGUGAAGUCGUAACAAGGUAACC